UAAUUAUAUCGUCUGCUUCUUUCAGAUUGUUUCUCCAGAUUUCCGAGACCCGAGUUGUUUUUUUUCUGUUUCUUUUCAGUGUCAUAAUCCAGUCGUUCAAUUCUUAGACGUUAUUAAGAUGGAGGAUAAAUUAACGUUUUCACAAAGAUUUGCAAAAUUUACCAAAAAAAAUUUGGUACUUUUGACUAUGGUUCCCGUUAUUAUUGGGCUACAUGUUGGAUGGUCACUACUUCAAAAAGUUGAAAAAUUUGUUCCUAAACACGAGCAGCAGAUUGAACAUCCUAUCAUAAGGGGAGCAAAGACAUUAGCAGAAAUAACAAAUUUAACCACACCAGCAGAGAAAAAAGAAAACAAAUAGUGCUCAGCAAUGUAAUUUUUUGUGUAACAACCUUGUAGGGAUUCUACAAAGUAAAUUUUGACAAAUUAAAUUA